rnacentral:rRNA from 1 species
AUUGUACGCUGGCGGCAUGCUUUACACAUGCAAGUCGAACGGCAGCGAGGAGAAGCUUGCUUCUCUGUCGGCGAGUGGCGAACGGGUGAGUAUAGCAUCGGAACGUGCCAAGUAGUGGGGGAUAACCAAACGAAAGUUUGGCUAAUACCGCGUAAGCUCUAAGGAGGAAAGUAGGGGACCUAAAUAAGGCCUUACGCUAUUUGAUCGGCCGAUGUCGGAUUAGCUAGUUGGUGGGGUAAUGGCUCACCAAGGCAAUGAUCCGUAGCGGGUCUGAGAGGACGAUCCGCCACACUGGGACUGAGACACGGCCCAGACUCCUACGGGAGGCAGCAGUGGGGAAUUUUGGACAAUGGGGGAAACCCUGAUCCAGCCAUGCCGCGUGUAUGAAGAAGGCCUUAGGGUUGUAAAGUACUUUUGUUAGGGAAGAAAAGCUAGUUUUUAAUAAAAAUUAGUGAUGACGGUACCUAAAGAAUAAGCACCGGCUAACUACGUG